GUUACCUACGGGGGGCAGCAGUGGGGGGUAUUGCACAAUGGGGGGAACCCUGAUGCAGCGACGCCGCGUGGGUGAAGGAGCGUUUCGGCGCGUAAAGCCCUAUCGGCAGGGAAGAAGAUGACGGGACCUGGCCAAGAAGCCCCGGCUAACUACGUGCCAGCAGCCGCGGUAAUACGUAGGGGGCAAGCGUUAUCCGGAUUUACUGGGUGUAAAGGGGGCGCAGACGGCAAUGCAAGCCAGGAGUGAAAGACCGGGGGCCAACCCCGGGACUGCUCUUGGAACUGCAUGGGUGGAGUACAGGGGGG
rnacentral:rRNA from 1 species